GACGGAGGGGGCAAGCGUUGUUCGGAAUUAUUGGGCGUAAAGGGCUCGUAGGCGGACCGGUGUGUCUGGCGUGAAAUCUCCACUGCUUAACAGGGAGGGGCCGCUGGAAACUGCCGAUCUUGAGUAUGGUAGAGGACCAUGGAAUUCCGGGUGUAGCGGUGGAAUGCGUAGAUAUCCGGAAGAACACCGGUGGCGAAGGCGGUGGUCUGGACCAAAACUGACGCUGAGGAGCGAGAGCCAGGGGAGCAAACGGG
rnacentral:rRNA from 1 species